rnacentral:rRNA from 1 species
GACGAACGCUGGCGGCGUGCCUAAUACAUGCAAGUAGAACGCUGAAGGAGGAGCUUGCUCUUCUGGAUGAGUUGCGAACGGGUGAGUAACGCGUAGGUAACCUGCCUGGUAGCGGGGGAUAACUAUUGGAAACGAUAGCUAAUACCGCAUAACAUUGACUAUUGCAUGAUAGUCAAUUAAAAGGUGCAAAUGCACCACUACCAGAUGGACCUGCGUUGUAUUAGCUAGUUGGUGGGGUAACGGCUCACCAAGGCGACGAUACAUAGCCGACCUGAGAGGGUGAUCGGCCACACUGGGACUGAGACACGGCCCAGACUCCUACGGGAGGCAGCAGUAGGGAAUCUUCGGCAAUGGACGGAAGUCUGACCGAGCAACGCCGCGUGAGUGAAGAAGGUUUUCGGAUCGUAAAGCUCUGUUGUAAGAGAAGAACGAGUGUGAGAGUGGAAAGUUCACACUGUGACGGUAGCUUACCAGAAAGGGACGGCUAACUACGUGC